CCAAACCCUUAUUUCUCCCCUAACCCUCACUCAAAACUCUUUUUCCCUCUCUAUCACCAGUAGCCGCCUUUCACUCUCUCUCCCUCACCAUCUCUCGAUUUCCUCGAUUUCCAUAUAUCACUCUCUCAACCUCGCUCUCUCUCUCUCUCAGCCUAUCCCUCUCAUCGUCUUCUUCGUCUCUCACUCGAAUCAACGGCGGAUCUCAAAAAUGGGCAGAGGUUAAAUAGGCGGUCAAGAAUAGGUAGAGAUCGAAGGUGGGCUCACGAAUGCGGAAAGGGUGGUGGACAGACAGCGGACGAGUCCAACAUUUGGGUGGGUUUCAUGGUGGCCAAGCUCAGGAGGUGGUGGCCGAUCUCAGGAGGCUUGAUGGUGGUUCGUUAGUUCAGCUCAGGAGCAGAACCUCAAGAAAGAUUUUACAGUUUGAGUACAAGAGAAUGUUUUGAUGGUGGUAUGUCAUGGUGAUAAGGCCGAGGCUUGUAAGGGUCGGAAGAUGACUUUGUUCAGUUUGUAAUUUUUGAGUUUUUUUUUAAUACGGUUUUGUUGACAGAUUUGUUAAAAAAAUGUUAAUGUAUAUGAUUUUGUUGAUAA